UAAGGAAUAUUGGUCGAUGGACGCAAGUCUGAACCAGCCAUGCCGCGUGGAGGAUUAAGGCCCUCUGGGUUGUAAACUCCUUUUAUCUGGGAAGAAAUGUACUUUUUCUUGAGUACUUGACGGUACCAGAGGAAUAAGCACCGGCUAACUCCGUGCCAGCAGCCGCGGUAAUACGGAGGGUGCAAGCGUUAUCCGGAUUCACUGGGUUUAAAGGGUGCGUAGGUGGGCAGGUAAGUCAGUGGUGAAAUCUCCGGGCUUAACCCGGAAACUGCCGUUGAUACUAUUUGUCUUGAAUAUUGUGGAGGUAAGCGGAAUAUGUCAUGUAGCGGUGAAAUGCUUAGAUAUGACAUAGAACACCAAUUGCGAAGGCAGCUUACUACACAAUCAUUGACGCUGAGGCACGAAAGCGUGGGGAUCAAACA
rnacentral:rRNA from 1 species